ensembl:lncRNA
AGACAGGCUAGAUGUCAGGACAGGCAGAGGGGUCAGACAGGCUAGAUGUCAGGGCAGGCAGAGGGGUCAGACAGGCUAGAUGUCAGGGCAGGCAGAGGGGUCAGACAGGCUAGAUGUCAGGACAGGCAGAGGGGUCAGACAGGCUAGAUGUCAGGACAGGCAGAGGGGUCAGACAGGUUAGAUGUCAGGGCAGGCAGAAGGGUCAGACAGGCUAGAUGUCAGGGCAGGCAGAGGGGUCAGACAGGCUAGAUGUCAGGGCAGGCAGAGGGGUCAGACAGGUUAGAUGUCAGGGCAGGCAGAAGGGUCAGACAGGCUAGAUGUCAGGGCAGGCAGAGGGGUCAGACAGGCUAGAUGUCAGGCAGAGGGGUCAGACAGGCUAGAUGUCAGGCAGAGGGGUCAGACAGGCUAGAUGUCAGGGCAGGCAGAGGGGUCAGACAGGCUAGAUGUCAGGGCAGGUAGAGGGGUCAGACAGGCUAGAUGUCAGGGCA